rnacentral:ribozyme from 1 species
UCUUUCUCUUUUGUUUCUCUUUUCUUUUCCUUUUUUUCUCUUUCCUUUAUUACACAAUAAUCUCAAGAUGUUUCGAAUGUCUAGAGUGAUGAUGUCUGGUCUACAAAUGCAUUCCAAAGUAGGUCGCAUGAAAUUGACUUCUACCCGCAAACGAAACGAUCAGAAGCGAAUUCAACGCCAAUUCAAAGUCGAAAAGUUUCUUCAACAAUACGCUGGGC